AGCAGCCGCGGUAAUUCCAGCUCCAAUAGCGUAUAUUAAAGUUGUUGCAGUUAAAAAGCUCGUAGUUGAAUUUCGGGAUCAGUAUGUUGGUCGUGCUUCGGUACGUACUGUCAUUACUGGUUUCUACCUUCUGAAGAACCUUGAUGUCAUUAAUUUGGUGUCUUGGGGAAUCAGGACUGUUACUUUGAAAAAAUUAGAGUGUUUAAAGCAAGCAUACGCUUGAAUACAUUAGCAUGGAAUAAUGAAAUAGGACGUUUGAUUCUAUUUUGUUGGUUUCUAGGAUCGACGUAAUGAUUAAUAGGGAUAGUUGGGGGCAUUAGUAUUCAAUUGUCAGAGGUGAAAUUCUUGGAUUUAUUGAAGACUAACUACUGCGAAAGCAUUUGCCAAGGAUGUUUUCAUUAAUCAAGAACGAAAGUUAGGGGAUCGAAGACGAUCAGAUACCGUCGUAGUCUUAACCAUAAACUAUGCCGACUAGGGAUCGGAUGAUGUUAUUUUAAU
rnacentral:rRNA from 1 species